UACGUAGGGGGCAAGCGUUGUCCGGAUUUAUUGGGCGUAAAGAGCGUGUAGGCGGCUUGGUAGGUCCGCUGUGAAAACUCGAGGCUCAACCUCGAGAUGUCGGCGGAAACCACUUGGCUAGAGUCCGGAAGAGGAGAGUGGAAUUCCUGGUGUAGCGGUGAAAUGCGCAGAUAUCGGGAAGAACACCUAUGGCGAAGGCAGCUCUCUGGGACGGUACUGACGCUGAGACGCGAAAGCGUGGGGAGCGAACAGG
rnacentral:rRNA from 1 species